GAUGAACGCUGACAGAAUGCUUAACACAUGCAAGUCAACUUGAAUUUGGGUUUUUAACUUAGGUUUGGGUGGCGGACGGGUGAGUAACGCGUAAAGAACUUGCCUCACAGCUAGGGACAACAUUUGGAAACGAAUGCUAAUACCUAAUAUUAUGAUAAUAGGGCAUCCUAUAAUUAUGAAAGCUAUAAGCGCUGUGAGAGAGCUUUGCGUCCCAUUAGCUAGUUGGAGAGGUAACGGCUCACCAAGGCGAUGAUGGGUAGCCGGCCUGAGAGGGUGAUCGGCCACAAGGGGACUGAGACACGGCCCUUACUCCUACGGGAGGCAGCAGUGGGGAAUAUUGGACAAUGGACCAAGAGUCUGAUCCAGCAAUUCUGUGUGCACGAUGAAGUUUUUCGGAAUGUAAAGUGCUUUCAGUUGGGAAGAAAGAAGUGACGGUACCAACAGAAGAAGUGACGGCUAAAUACGUG
rnacentral:rRNA from 1 species